UCAUUUUGACGUUUUUGCCGAGGAGAUCUUAGUAACACAAUUGUACCUAGGAUGUUUGGUCCAGUAUUUCUCAAGUGGAAAAAUGUAUAUGAAAAUGAUCAGUCUAUAGCUGAAUGACAACAAACACUUCAUUGAAGAAUCCCUACUCUUGACCAAUCACUGAUGAAGGAGGGGUGCGUCACUUGAGUGGGUUGAGUCGCUGACGUGGUCUUCCUGUCUGGGUUGGCGCCCCCUUGGGUUGUGCCAUGGCGGAGAUCUUUGUGGGCUAUACUCGGCCUUGUCUCAGGAUGGACCUGGGCCCUAGGACCAUGCCUCAGGACUACCUGGCAUGAUGACUCCUUGCUGUCCCCAGUCCACCUGGCCGUGCUGCUGCUCCAGUUUCAACUGUUCUGCCUGCUGCUAUGGAACCCUGACCUGUUCACCGGACGU
ensembl:lncRNA